GGGGGCGUUUUUGGAUUCGACGGGGAUCGUUCGAGCAUCAGUAGCGGGUCGUCGGGGCUGCGAAGACGCUAAAAUACGCAGGCGUAAAUAUAAACGCAAACAAACAACCUAAACUCGCUCUCGCUGCUUAAUUGCAGUGGGCCGGUUUGCCGUCCAUCGCCGAUGUGGAUUGCAAACUGUCAUUAUAGUCGGCUAGCGUAACUCUCUUCCGUCUGUAGAGAUUACGCGAAUCCAAUCAGACUAGCCAAACGGCAGCCUGUCGCUCGGCGGCCGUGCGGCGAAUUCCAGUAGAGACGACUGCACCCGGAGAAGCUGAUGUGGCGAGAUCUUCGGACAGGGGUUCGACUCCCCUCGCCUCCACCA
rnacentral:tmRNA from 1 species